AAAGAUUUUAAACCAUCUGUCCUAAAAGAUCAAAAGAAUAUAUAAUUUUAUACGGAAUAGAAUUUUAAUUAUAUAAUAUAAAAAUCUGGAAAGUUGUUUGUAAAGAAAUUCAUACAUUGACUAGGAAACCAAAUUAUAUCAAAAUCUCUAAUGAAUGAGGAAGGAAUAAAGGACAAGUUUAACUAACAAAAAAUAGAAAAUAAAAACAAGAAAGGAAAAAACAAACAAUUUCACUAACAUAUAUCCGACGUGGACUAAUCAAACAUAUUAAAAUUGCAAUCCUAAAACGAAUGGGAAGCCUCCA
rnacentral:lncRNA from 1 species